ACAUGGAUAAACCUAGAAGAUAUUAUUCUAAGUAAAAUAAGCCAAGCACAGAACAACACAUAUGUUAUGAUCUCACUUACAAAUGCAAUCUAAAAAAAGGUCAAAUUUAUAGAAGUAGAGAGUGGAAUGGUGGGUACCAGAGGCUGGGGGAAGUGGGAAUUGGAAAAUG